rnacentral:rRNA from 1 species
UACGUAGGGUGCGAGCGUUGUCCGGAAUUACUGGGCGUAAAGAGCUCGUAGGUGGUUUGUCGCGUUGUUCGUGAAAUCUCACGGCUUAACUGUGAGCGUGCGGGCGAUACGGGCAGGCUAGAGUACUGCAGGGGAGACUGGAAUUCCUGGUGUAGCGGUGGAAUGCGCAGAUAUCAGGAGGAACACCGGUGGCGAAGGCAGGUCUCUGGGCAGUAACUGACGCUGAGGAGCGAAAGCGUGGGGAGCGAACAGG